rnacentral:rRNA from 1 species
UAUUAGUCAAUGCUCGAAAGAGUGAACUAGCUAACUGAAAUCAAUAAUGUGUCAUUAUUGAUAACGUAAGGGAAAAUAAUGAUUGUACCUUACUAUUAGUGUCGUCCAAAUACUCGUGCCAGAAGACUCGGUAAGGCGAGAGACGCAAACGUUAGUCGUCUUAAUCAGGCGUAAAGGGUUUGUAGGCAGUUUUAAGAAUUAAUACUAAUAUUGUUAAUCAAUUAAAACUAGAAUCAAGAAGAGGUUAUAUUAAAUAAUAUCUAGCGUAAGGUUGGUAACUUAAAAUACUAGGUAGAAUAUUAACGGCGAAGGCUUUUUUCCAAUAAUGAUUGACGCUGAGAAACUAAGGUGGGGACAGAAAAAAGGAUUAGAGACCCUUGUAUCCCUCACUGUCAACGAUGAAUGGUAGUUACUAAAUAUUUAUUUAGAGAUGAUGUUAACACGAAAACCAUUCCGCCUUGUGAGUACGACUGCAAAGUUGAAAACAAAAAAAUUAGUCGGUCUCGGAGCAAACGAAGUGGAGCAUGUUAUUUAAU